GGAGGCAACUCAAAUGCAAGGGCAGAUAAUUCAGAUUAAGGUACACAAUAGAAUGUGUUACGAAUUUACCUAUUUAAUAAUGUAGCAAGAAAACGGGUCCGGUGAACCCCUUGUUUCUUUUUCUUAACUGAAAGCAUGCUAUUAAAGCCAUCUUCUCAUGUGUUAUCUCAAAAUUCUAUGGUGUAGAUUGCGCUUUAUUGAAGAAAAUUGGGGUUUCCAUGCAUAAUCUAUACAAAAUUUGUCAAUUUUGAACACUGUGUAGCAUGAAAAUAAGCCCAGUGACCCAUUCUUUUUAUUAGUAUUUUUAAAAAGCAUGAUAUAAACUAUAUUUUGGCAAAUUAUUAAAAUUUUUUAUGGAUUAUAAUUUAGACACCCCAUCUACCUUAAAUGAGAAAACUGACGGCCUAAUUUAUGUACAAAAUAAUAAUAACACAUAGAUGAAACGAUUGCAUAUCGGUUGCACAUGGAAAGAUCUUUAAUAACAGUUAGGAAUUCAAGACGGCAUUUGUGCUGAUUGUGUUCAUUUGGAAAGUAAGAAGAAAAUUGAAGUAAUAUGAUUCCUACUGUUUAACAAAAAAG
rnacentral:lncRNA from 1 species